rnacentral:guide_RNA from 1 species
AUAUACAACAACACAAAUAGAUUAGAUAGCGUGUGAUAUUUUGGCGAGAAA